CCCCUCUGGCUGACCCCGCCAUUAACGCUUCUGGUUCUUCCACUAACUUGGCGUCCUCCCUUCUCACAGCACUUACUGCUGCCCUGGAUCAUCCUCCUACUCCCCCUCCCCUUCCCGCCGACUUGUCUCCCCUUCUCACCGCCCUCUCGGCCCUAGCCCGCCCAGCUCCUCCCAACAUGGUCACUCAUCAUCCUCCUCCUCCUUCACUCCCUAACGAAUUGUCUGUCCUUGCCUCAGCCCUCUCUGCCCUAGCCCAACCUGCCGCCACGGUGUCCCCACCCACUCCUAGCCCCGCCCCAUGUAUCCAGGCCCCCAGUACCAGCUUUCCCCUCAUGGUGGCUGGCUCUGAAGAACCAGCCACAUCGGCCCAGCCUCAUGCUGUGGGUGUUUCCCCAGCUGCGUCAGGUUACCACCCCACCGCGUCACAGUCAGGCAGCCUGCCCAACGCGGCCCAGGCUCCCCAGACUUCUAUCACUCCGGCCAUCCCAGACCCGGUUUCUCUGGGAGCUGCUUCCUCUCAGGGGGACCCUGCCACCCCAGAGGACGAUGACAUUGAUGCUC